GGAGCAGCGGGCAAGGGGCUAAGGGGAGGGGGGCCCAGUGCCAGCUGUUUAAAAGUGCCCCUGUGGCAGUGGCAGUGAGGGGUGCCAGAGGUCCAGUGAAGUUAGUUGAGAAGCAGUGAUACCUCCAACCAUUCCCCAAAUGGGCUGGCCCAUGUCUCCAGGCCACAAGGAGCCACACCUGGAUGGACCCCGAGAGAGCCUCCCCAGAGCUUCCCGACAGAAGACACAGGCUGCCCCCCGGGGCCAAGCGACAUUUCCUGAAGACACUGGGGAACAGUGAAGAGAAAACAGUCCGUCCUCCAGGAGUAGAAGGAUGUUGACAGCCAGCACCAGAGACAAAGGAACAGAACCAGGCAACCUACAGCCACAGAGGAUACGGAAGCAAAUACCUUCCCCUGGUCAAAGGCCUCAACCUCUGGCCCUGUGUCAGAGUUUCCCACAGGAGCGUGGGACUGCCUCCCAUCCAUUUCCUGUCUCUGCACCCAGGAGAGCUGCUAUCUUUGCGGCAAUACUCUGAGCCCAACGGGGUGUGCUGGAAAUAGCUGCCAAUUCCCCUAGUGCAAGCAAGGCUGUGACCCUGGAACCAUCUCCUCCCCUUCCUGGCUCGCCAUGUGCAGUGAUAAAGCUCCCCUGACCACUGCACAGCAGUUCUGCAGAUUAAACGUGGUGGGGUGGUUUUUCAAAUGGCAGGCACUCAGAUGCCACCCACCCUUUUUUUCUCAGAUGCCCCCUUUUUAACUUUUGCCAUAUCUACAAUCAUAAGAUUUUAAAAUUUGAGGUGAGUCUUUUUUCAAUACCUAAAUAGGAAACUAAACACUGUCCAUAAUUAGGAGAUAAUAAAGAUAAGACAGACAGUAAAUACUCAGCGGUGCUCUUACUCCUUCCCCUUGAGCGAUGGCUUGCAAGGCCCUGGACUUGAGGGAGAUAAACAGGAGCCUGAAAAGUGUCAGAGACACGAUAGCACCAAACUGAGGCUCUUUCUCCCGGAAAACAGAAGGACUGGAAGCAAACUGACAGGGAACAGCCUGGGUCACUGUGUUUUCCAAAGUCUGUGCUCAGGCCACAUAUGCAGCAGAAUUGCGAGAAGCCAAAAGUGGUCAGGUGAAAGAGCUUUGGACAGAGUCCCGCACCGAGGAAUGCAAGGGGCUGGCCUAUCAGCUGGCCUCCCAGCAGCAAAGGCUCACUUCUGCUUCUUAGCAAAACUUCCACGUUGGCCAGGCCAGGCAUCUCCCCUUGCAGAACUAGUGGGAGCAGUCCGAGAGUGGAGUAGACACUGUGGGCUGUCCAGGACCCCCCAAGCUGGGUCCUGUUGUUGGAAUCACUCCCCAGCCAAAUGCAGUUUGGAAGAAGUUCCUACUCAUAUUAGAGGAAGGCAGUUCUUUGGGUGGGAAUACCUCACAGAGGGGCUGACCUACCCCAAGUAGCAGACCAAAGGAAAACACUCUGCUGUUUGGGGCCUGAUGUCAGGUUUCCAUCCGAGGCAUAAGAGACACUAAUUUUGGAAGGAUGUGAGUGUUUCCCUGCUCUCUCCCAGCCCUGAGAAAAGGCUGCCGGCCCUCUCCACCCUUCAGACAUCCCUGAAAGUACAUGUCAUCCAGCAUCAAGGCCAUCACAGUGGUAUCAGCAGUGCAGGAGGGGUGCCCUGAGAUCUUGGCGGGACAGGAGAAGGGGGUACAGGGCUCUGCCUGCUCACUCAGAGGUUCCCAUCUAAGCCAGGUCUUAACAGGAAAACGAAUGAUCUACAAGGCCAUUCACUCAUCUACCAGCAGCACUCCCUGGGGUCCCUCACCAUGUACAAAGGCCUUCACAAGGCCCAGGGAUCCCCACCACGAACAAACAUGGGUGCUGGGUCUACCCCAGUCAGACCCAGAGGCAAAGAGCUCUGACACUGGAGAGAUGUGGCUGAAGAACAUGAUUCAUUCACUCGGACAACACAUAUUAAGCAUCUACCAUCACAAAUGCAAUAAAGGAUGAGAAAGAGGGCAGAGAGGACUUCCCUGGUGGUUCAGUAGUGGAGAAUCUGCCCUGCAAAGCAGGGCACUCAGGUUCAAUCCCUGCUCAGGGAACUAAGAUCCCACAUGCCAUCGAACAGCUGAGCUCCCACGCCACAACCACGUACCGCACGAAGACUGCACGUGCCGAAACUAAGCCCUCAUGCAGUCAAAUAAAUAAAAUUUAAAAAAGAAAGAAAGAGGGCAAAGGAUGCAGACCGGGGAGUUCUGACGUCUGAAAAAGUCAAAGGGGGCUUCACAGGAAAAGUGGCCAUUUAAGUAGAGACUCAUCCCACCAAGAAGAGAUGGGCAGGGGAGUGAGAGGGAGUAACAUGGUUCCUGGGAGCCCCAAGGUGGUGUGCACAGGACUCCCUGGAGGAGUGGAAAAAGAGGGCAGGGGCCCAAGAGAAACAGCCCAGCUGGGCCAGAUAGGGCAGGCCUAUAGCCUUUUGUAAGGGUUUUAGAAUUCAGCCAGAAGGAGACUUUUCACCAUUUUAAACCCAGGAGAAAUAUGGGCACAUUUGCAUUUUGAGAAAUCAUUCUGAGAGGAUGGGUGGGAAGUUGGUGGGAGCAGAAGCAAGGGAAGCCAGGUGGGAGGCUGAAGCAAAUGCUUGAUGGUAUAAAAUAUAAAGUACCAUGAAUGUGCCAUUUGGCUGGGCUACACCAAGCAUAAACGUGAGGUAUGGGGUCAAAAAGGUAGACCAUCACCCAGGGUGAGGGGUGAGGGGGCAGUAGAGGGUUCUUUGGGAAUGAUGAAAUGUUCUAAGAUUGUGGCAAUGCUUGUGACACUCUGUGUUUUUGCACUCACGCUCGGUCGUGUCCGACUCUUUGUGAUCCCAUGGACUGUAGCCCACCAGGCUCUCUUCCAUCCAUGGAAUUUUCCAGGCAAGAAUACUGGAGUGGGUUGCCAUUUCUUCCUCCAGUGGAUCUUCCCGACCCAGGGAAGGUCCCUCAUCUCCUGCAACUCCUGCACUGCAGGCAGACUCUUUCCCAUUAAGCCAUCAGGGAAGCCCAACUCACCACUCUGUGACUGAACUAGAAGAGCAUUUCAUUGUGUAAUUUGAAUAGGAGGUUUAUAUCUCAACAAAACUGUUUAAAAAGAAAAGGAAGGGUGAAGCUUGGUCCCAGAGGGCUCAAAUGCCAGGCUGAGGGCAGGAAGCACACCAGUGUAGCUGCAGCAGCCUCCAGGGCAGGAGCUGGAGGGAGGAGCCGAGGCCCCUCUAAUGCCCCUUCUCCUGCCUAG
ensembl:lncRNA